rnacentral:tRNA from 1 species
GCCCGGGUGGCUCAGUUGGUCGAGCGUACGACUUCGGCUCAGGUCCUGAUCUCGCGGUUUGUGGGUUCGAGCCCCGCGUCGGGCU